UUGCAGGAAGCUCGUAGUAGAUUCAGUGUUGAUAUUGAACCUGAAAAUGCUGUGAAUAUCAAUCCUCUAGAUGGACUCCUUAGUCCAGAAGGAUCUACAACGCUUCACUUUAAGAGAUCCUCUCACUCUGCUUCAAUCGGAAGAAUUAAUUGCAAGAUUUACUAUUGCAAGGAAGAUGAGGUUUGUUUAUACCAAUCCUUGCUGUUUGAGGUCCCCUUCCAAGAUGGAGUUUUUAACACUGCCCAAGCAGACGUCACUCUUGCCCAUUUUGUGAAACCCAAAAGUUCGACUAGCAACGUACUGCAGCCUAUUGCCCCAUAGCACGUUGAACCAGGCCCUCACACUGCAUGCAAAGCAACUGGAUGCAACAACCUUGUUUGGUAGCUCAAGGAUGAUAUUAAGUUAAGACAGUCAAAUGCAUUUCCCAAAUUAAGCCUCGCUAACAAAUGCAUAGUAUCAGUGCAACAAGGCACAGUGCCAGUCGGGUUAUAUUAUUUCAAAAGGCUUGCUCAGCAGUCAUCAUCUCUAUUAUUUAUUGAGUAUUAAGAAUAAAUCCCAGUGACACAUUUUUGCUGGAAAUGGUCAGCUGAUUCAGAUUUUAUGAUAAGAUCUAUCAUAAUAACAAAUAAUUACAUGUAAAAUAUACAAAUUCAUAUUUAGACAAAUAUAUAGAAUAAAAAGUAUUGAUUAAUAAAAAGUAUAGAAAUUUUUGUUGAAACAAAAGUUUCAUCACUACAUGAAUUUUGACUAGUACCAAGUGUCAAAAGUUGUUGGUAUUGAAAGAAAAAAAGUUUAGUAAUUAGGAAAAUUUAAGGUACUGUUUGGCCAAGUUACUUAUGAGCUUAUCUUCUCCUUUCAAGGAGAAGUUGGAUCAAACACAUUUCAUAAAAAGCUCUUGCAAAAAUAAGGAACUUGUUUUUUAUGAAAGAAAAACUCAACAUCAGUUCAAUGAAAGUUGGCUAGAUUUUUAGUACUUGCAUUGAGUUUGGUUCCGUAAGUCCCCUCUUCGUACCUAUUAAAAGGCAUAAUUCACCCUCAGUAUAAAAUGCUUGAUAUGCUUCACCCAUCAGUCUAGUAAUUAUGUGUAUAUGGAUAUAUGCAUUGGCUUGAUAUGCAUGUUUUUUUAUUGUCGUUUUUUAGUUUUUUGAGUAAAAAAUGAUAUUUGGUGGUGUUCCAAAUUAAAUAUAGAUGAAGAUGGUUUGCUUUGUUGUAUCAGUUGCUCAUGAGAGUGACAGGGCGAUGAAGUACAACAUCAUCCAACAGUAAAAAUUAAGACAAAAAUAACUUUGACUUUGCACACACCUCAACUAAUUAAACUAGGCUAGUCGAGUAUUUUCUUAUAUAUCUAGUUUUUUUAAAUAAAACUUUGAUAAAUAAUAAUUUUGACUUUGCACACAUGUCAACUAGUUAAAUUAGGUUAGUUGAGUAUUUUCUUACGUAUCUAGUUUUCUGAAAUAUAUUUUUAUUAUUUGAUUUUAAAACACACCAGAGAUACACAUCAACUAUUUUUUUUCUUCAUAUUUUAAGCCUCUUCAAAUAAGUUACACUUUAUUUGGACUCACAAAAAUAUGCUAUAUUUGGUAAACUUAAAUAUAAACAAAUUUCAACUAAAUAUUUUAAAAUUAAUUAAUUUGUAUUAUCAUAAUGCCUAAAGAAAAUUGUAUUAUUAUAAAGCAAGUUUUAAUUAAAAAAAAUUGGAAACAAUAAAAUAGUACUAGUAAUUUGGUAAAUAAAUUAUUUUUUGUUGCACUAUAUAUAUAUUGUGUUAAAUCAAAUACUUUCUAAUAAUUUCAAUAAUUUAAGUAUAACGACCAAUAUGAUUUCUUUACAUUUUUCAAAGGCGUCAUCGUAAAUGUGAAUUAAGGGCAAAGUUUGUGCGCGUGGCUCGUUACGAUUCCCGCUCAAAAAAUGUGAAUUAAAGGGCACAAGUUUGUUCGCUCAAACUCCAUUGCUCCCCCUCUCUUUCUUAUUUUCUAAAAUUGUUUUCCAAAUUCUGUUUUCAAUUUCAUUCAUCUUUUUUAUUUGCUUCAUUACUUUCCAAAUAGUUUGUUAUACUGUGUCAAUUAUUUUGACUUUUACUGCUUCUUAUUUACACCUAGAAUGGAUGUGAAUUCUUUUUUUUUUCCUCGUUUUUACAUAUUCAUUGCACAACAUGUGUUUUAAUUAUUGUCAGAGCACAAUUUCUGGAAAUAUGUGGGAGAAUUCGAGGUUGGGAUUUAUCAAGUCAGAGGCGAAUUUGAAUACACGGAAAUUGUUGUGUGCAAAGCUCAUCUUAUGCAAUCUUAUGAAGAAGAUAAAAACAGCUAAAGCUGAGUGGUAUCAAGUACUUUUUGUUGUUGCUUCCCCUUUUUCACAAUCAUGUUGCUUUUAAAUAGAAUAUUUACUUGCAACUCACUGUUUCCUAAAUAUUAAGGAGGAAGUCAUGAUACUUAUAGUGAACAUAACACCAUCACUAAAUAAAGACAAAAACUCAAAGAUAAGAACUAACUUAACAAACUAAUUACCUGAUAUAUGCAGUUAAAACAAGCUAACCAAUAUAGGCAGUUAAAAUAAGCCCUUUAUCAGAUAAGCUAUCAACGUAAUGAAACUAUAAUUAAUUGGUUAUCAUAACACUAACGUUUCUUGCUUUCUCUGACAUUUCCAUACAAUUGGGAAAAAAUCUUUUUGGUGUUGCUGGUGGCUUGGAUUUGAAUGUGCAGGACCAGAUGCAAUGCAUUCCUACAAUGACACAAAAAUUAUUGUCUGGCGAUCUUGCUUCACAACUGGAGGCAACUGCUCAGAUUUGUAAGAAAGGGUAUAUUUAUACUCAUGAUGUAGCUCUUAUAAUCCUAAACCCUAAUCAAAAAACUGCUCUGCACGAAAUAUCCAUUCUAGCACAUUGUUGCCAUCAAAACGCGGAAAUUCAAGUUUAAUGUUUCUCACCUGAAAUGAUUGUUUGUUUGAGUUACCGGCACCAUGGGUUUUUCGUUGUGGGCUCUGGUUCAGUAGCAUAUCAAGCGCGGAUGUGGUCUGCGAAAACUUGCUCUCUGUGUUCAUUUGCAUCGCCUCCAGUUGUUCAAAGCGAGAGGAAUUUGCAAUUCCCAAUCGGGACAUCUGCUCGUGAAUAUCGUUGGAGAGUUUUUCGAUUGCUUCAGCGUUGCGCUUGACGUCAGAACUGAGCUCUUUCAACCUUGUGUUUUCUGCCAUGGUGAAAUGAAAGCACCAAAUGUAACGUGCUAAAAUUUUAAGAAGAGGAGUACUGAAAUUGGGUUUAUUAAAUUACUUCUGAAUACCAAUCUAGAAGGAAGGAAAUCGUACAAUAACGCACUAUUAGAAAGUAUGAUCAGAGAAAGGAAGAAGAAUUGAUAGACCUAACUAAUCAUAUCCCCUUUUAGUUAUUGACCUCAUUCCCUAAAUACUAGAUCUUGGGUGUACGUAGUCCUGCAGCCUUGAGCUAGUCGUGCGAUUUCUCAUUCCCCUCCUUGGCACCGGAAUUCCCGGACCCACUCUAACAGAAUUAUUCUCUUGUGGGACCCCUUCAUUUGGCUUGGAAUGGAUUGUGCCUUCUUUCAUUGCACUUUCAUUGACACAUCUCUUUUCAGGCCAAAUUGCUCUAAUUGAUGAGGUGAUUCGGGCAGGUGUUGUCCCACAGCUUGUGAUUUUUAUCUCAUUUACACAAUAAGUAGUACAUUAUAUUUGCAGUUCGUGGCAGCAUGGACUCUGACCAACAUCGCGUCGGAACAUCUGAGCAUACAAGAAUUGUAUUCGAACAUGGUACCGUUCCCUUGCUUGUCCAUCUUUUGUGCUCUAGUAGUGCUGACAAAACAGGUCAAAUAUACCUCAGUCUCAUGGCAUAAUGACAUUGAGAAAACCGUCAUGUAUGCAUGUAUGUGUUGCUUGCUCACACAAUUUCCAUGUCCCAUCGUGUAUUUAACCGGCGACAUGGGCAUUAGGUAAUAUUGCUGGUGAUUUCCUGAGGGAUUUGUUCUCAGUCAUGGUACACUCCUGGCAACAGUGAUCUGUUGAAUCCAUAAAAUAUCUAUCUUGAUCGCUUCAUGGACUAUAUUUAAUUUGUGCCGUGAAAAGCCGCUCCAAAACUCGAACAGAUUCAACCUGUAUUGCCUAUCCUUGGAAACUUUUGUUGAUGACUGAUGAAGAAGUUGUAGUAAAUGCAUGUCGGGCUCUUUUUUUCCUUACUUACGCGGGCUCAUGGGAAAUGAUCGAAGCUGUCAUUGAAGCAAAUGUUUUCCCAAGACUUGUAAAAUUACUACGCUAAUCUAUCUUUCUUUUUUAGUAACAGAACCAUUGACUUAAUAUAUGUUUCCUUUACCUUUUGUGAA